rnacentral:rRNA from 1 species
AGCCGCCGCGGUAAUACGUAGGGGGCGAGCGUUGUCCGGAAUUAUUGGGCGUAAAGCGCGCGCAGGCGGUCCCUUAAGUCUGAUGUGAAAGCCCACGGCUCAACCGUGGAGGGUCAUUGGAAACUGGGGGACUUGAGUGCAGAAGAGGAGAGCGGAAUUCCACGUGUAGCGGUGAAAUGCGUAGAGAUGUGGAGGAACACCAGUGGCGAAGGCGGCUCUCUGGUCUGUAACUGACGCUGAGGCGCGAAAGCGUGGGGAGCAAACAGGAUUAGAUACCCUGGUAGUCCACGCCGUAAACGAUGAGUGCUAAGUGUUAGAGGGGUUAAACCCUUUAGUGCUGUAGCUAACGCGUUAAGCACUCCGCCUGGGGAGUACGGCCGCAAGGCUGAAACUUAAAGGAAUUGGCGGG